rnacentral:ncRNA from 1 species
UUAACGUCAAUGACGAGAACAGUAUGUUAUAAGAGGACUCUAAAGAGAGCUGGAGUAGCUGAGAACCAGUGGGUGUCUAUAACAGAAGAUCCUCUCGAGAGACGUAAUGCUGAACUGCAUGAUGUAAGCAUUGCCGGGCAAUCCGUUAUCGUUGUAUUUAAACAAGUGUCAGUAGUGGUUUGCUACUGGAACUAGGGUGGUAACGCGUGUAUUAACUCGUCCCUACU